GCGCGUAAAUUGCCCGAAUCCUGACACAGGGAGGUAGUGACAAGAAAUAACAAUACAGGGCCUUUUAGGUCUUGUAAUUGGAAUGAGUACAAUUUACAUCUCUUCACGAGGAUCAAUUGGAGGGCAAGUCUGGUGCCAGCAGCCGCGGUAAUUCCAGCUCCAAUAGCGUAUAUUAAAGUUGUUGCAGUUAAAACGCUCGUAGUCGGAUUUCGGGGCGGGCCGGCCGGUCUGCCGAUGGGUAUGCACUGGUUGGCGCGUCCUUCCUCCCGGAGACCGCGCCUACUCUUAACUGAGCGGGCGCGGGAGACGGGACGUUUACUUUGAAAAAAUCAGAGUGUUUCAAGCAGGCAGUCGCUCUUGCAUGGAUUAGCAUGGGAUAAUGAAAUAGGACUCUGGUGCUAUUUUGUUGGUUUCGAACACCGGAGUAAUGAUUAACAGGGACAGUCAGGGGCACUCGUAUUCC
rnacentral:rRNA from 1 species